CUGGGGAAAAACAAACAGCAUCAGAUCACUAUGAUAUUAGUUACACAGAAGAAUGGAAAGGUGAUCUUCGGAGAGUAGGAUUGUAGGUGGUUUUUUUUAAUCGAAUUUUUACAUUUUCUACCAGUUCACCAUGCAUCACUUGUUAUUUAAAAGCCAAUUGUAUUACGUAUAAAAAGAAAGAAGAGGGGCCGGUCCUCAGCCCUCUCCGGGGUGGCUGGCUUCUGCUGGUACCAGCUUUAGCUGAAAUAGUCAUAACGAUAGCUCACACUUGGAGACUGUUGACAGCACGCCUGCCACUUUGAGUGCUUUAUGUGACAUGUAUGAACUCGUUUAAUCCUCCUCACCAGCUUGGCCAAGGUCGUGAAGCUGAGGAGCGGCAGGCGAGAGUCCAGCCUCUCCACUAUGUGCUAUGCUGCUUUUCUGGAAGUUGUUUCCAAGCCCUGUGGAUGAAAGGCCUGUCCUUGCCUCGCUCCCUCCACAGUGAAAACAGCCUCCAUUCUGUGCCAGGCGGGAGCUCUCAGGUGAGGGGUUGGGAGACUGGGGGGAAAUAGAGGAGACUGGACAGGGGUAUCCAGAAGUGUCUGAAUCCUUGGAAGGCCCAGACGAAAACUCACUCUUCUUGCACGUGUUGGUCCGCAGAACCAUCAGCCUGGACCCCAGGCUCCUGGGACUUUCAUGGUACAAGGGGGUAGAAAAGGGUGGCUAUUUGAGGGCUGUAGACAUCUGAGCAUUGUGGUUAAAUAUUUGUGGCUUCAAAUCCCAGUUCUGCCACUUACCAGGUGUGAGACCUUUGGCAAUUACCUUCCCUCUGUGAGUCUCAGUUUCUUCAUCGCUAAAGUAAAGAUCUUGGCAGUUGUCAGCGUCAAAUGGCGUAAUAUAUGUAAAGUUCUUAGCACGGUGCCUGGCACAUGGUAAGCACUUAUUAAGUGAUGGUUAUUCUCAUUACUAUUCAACGAUCAUUUAUUGAGCACCUACCUUGUGCCCCACACUGUGCCAAUAGUAGACCGCCCUGGAGGUGCGAGAGCCCAGCAAUUGCACCUCCAGGCUCCAAACACCCACAACAUAUGAAUUCUGCAGAAGCAAGAAGCCAGAGCCAGAAACCCAGGCUCCCAGGGCGCAGGAUGGAGUCUGAGAGAAACCUACCUCAGUCUCAUGGAGCAACCCUGCUGAUACCUGGUUGAUAGACAUCAGGGCAGCACGAACCCUGUCUUCCUUGCUGGCAGACGCCUGACUUUGUCAAGGUUUUGGGGGCAAUGUACCAAGGUCUGGGGGGUAAAUUGUGUCUGGUCUGGUCUGCAUUAAGUAUAGUUUUCCUAUUCCUGUUGUCAGCAAAGAUCUUGCUCAGAGUCACGCAGGGAGUAAGCGGGCAAGACUAAUCUUUCAAUCUGUGUGCUUUAGGGCUGGGUGUGUGACCCCACUCUGGCAAACAAGGACUAGGAGGACCUACCUCACAAGAUUGUUGGAAGGAUUAAAUUCACAUAAAGUGCUUAGAACAGUGAGUGGGAUUCAGUAUUCAGUAAGUAUACAGUUGACAUUAGCUGAUUUUAUUUUUCACUUCCACCACCCUCCCCCUCUGUUUCAGCUACUUUGGACACUCUUUCUGUGUCUUCAGUCAUCAUUUACAAACACUUAAAUAAAUAUCUACGUAUUCCCACCUCCUUUGCAGCAGAUCUAACCAUACAACUAAGUUGUGGCCAAUGGAAUGAAUGGUGGCUGGAGCUGGAGCAGCCAUUUUGGACCAUGAGGCAAAAGCUGAAUGUGGAGGAUUUUGAAGCAACAAGAUAGGAAAUGUCCAAAUCCCUAACAAUUGUGGUACCAACAUACCAGCCUGGACUGCAUUCCUGGACACUCACAUGAGAAAA
rnacentral:lncRNA from 1 species